rnacentral:lncRNA from 11 species
UGGAAUUAGAAACGGAGCGGACGCCAAGCAAUGCCUUGGCAGGAAUGCACACGUCCUUUGGAAACUACUACUUCCAGACAGCAGGCUACCUUAUCUAUUAAGUCCCUUCUGCUGGAUAAGAUCCUUGAGCUGAAUGUGCUCAUUUGCUGCAUGGAUUUCCUGUUGUGAAUAAAUCCCAGAUUCGGGCAAGUGGAAACACCUCAAGAGAAACACCAAUAUGAUGCUUUCCGCAGACUUCUGGUACUUUUCCUGAACUACUGCAUGAACAUUAG